rnacentral:rRNA from 1 species
UACGUAGGGUGCAAGCGUUGUCCGGAAUUAUUGGGCGUAAAGAGCUCGUAGGCGGUUUGUCGCGUCGAAUGUGAAAACCCGGGGCUCAACCCCGGGCCUGCAUUCGAUACGGGCAGACUAGAGUUCGGUAGGGGAGUCUGGAAUUCAUGGUGUAGCAGUGAAAUGCGUAGAGAUCAUGAGGAAGACCAGUGGCGAAGGCGGGUCUCUGGACAGUUCCUGACACUGAGACACGAAGGCCAGGGGAGCAAACGGG